GAUGAACGCUGGCGGCGUGCCUAAUACAUGCAAGUCGAGCGAACAGACGAGAGUGCUUGCACUCUCUGACGUUAGCGGCGGACGGGUGAGUAACACGUGGGUAACCUACCUAUAAGACUGGGAUAACUUCGGGAAACCGGAGCUAAUACCGGAUAAUAUUUAGCUUCGCAUGAAGCAAUAGUGAAAGACGGUUCUGCUGUCACUUAUAGAUGGACCCGCGGUGUAUUAGCUAGUUGGUGAGGUAACGGCUCACCAAGGCAACGAUACAUAGCCGACCUGAGAGGGUGAUCGGCCACACUGGGACUGAGACACGGCCCAGACUCCUACGGGAGGCAGCAGUAGGGAAUCUUCCGCAAAGGACGAAAGUCUGACGGAGCAAUGCCGCGUGAGUGAAGAAGGUGUUCGGAUCGUAAAACUCUGUUGUAAGGGAAGAACAAGUACGUUAGUAACUGAACGUACAUUGACGGUACCUGACCAGAAAGCCACGGCUAACUACGUG
rnacentral:rRNA from 1 species